AUGCUCAUCGCCAUCUGCAUCGUGGGGACGGUGCUGCUCCUCAGGCACCGCCGGCGGAGGAAGAAACAACGGCGGUCCCUCAGCCGGCAGCCGUCCUCCUCCAUAGGCCUGCACACGCACACCGGCAUCUCGGCAUCCAAGGUCUCAGCCGCCAGAAGCCACAGCCGCGCAUCCUCGGGGCCGUCCCUCAGCAUCGGCCAGAUACGGCGGGCGACCGGCGACUUCGACGAGGGCCGGGUGGUCGGCGUCGGCGGGUUCGGCAAGGUGUACAGGGGGGUCCUGGAGAACGGCGCCGCGGUGGCCGUGAAGCGCGGGAAUCCGCGGUCGCAGCAGGGCCUGCUGGAGUUCCGCACGGAGAUCGAGAUGCUGUCCAGGCUCCGGCACCGCCACCUGGUGUCCCUCAUCGGGUACUGCCACGAGGACAACGAGAUGGCGCUGGUCUACGAGUUCAUGGCCGGCGGGCCGCUCCGGAGCCACCUG
rnacentral:rRNA from 1 species